CAAAACGACUCUCGGCAACGGAUAUCUUGGCUCUCGCAUCGAU
rnacentral:rRNA from 19 species